rnacentral:rRNA from 1 species
UACGUAGGGUGCAAGCGUUAAUCGGAAUUACUGGGCGUAAAGCGUGCGCAGGCGGUUUUGUAAGUCAGAUGUGAAAUCCCCGGGCUUAACCUGGGAACUGCGUUUGAAACUACAAGGCUAGAGUGUAGCAGAGGGGGGUGGAAUUCCACGUGUAGCAGUGAAAUGCGUAGAGAUGUGGAGGAACACCGAUGGCGAAGGCAGCCCCCUGGGUUAACACUGACGCUCAUGCACGAAAGCGUGGGGAGCAAACAGG